rnacentral:rRNA from 1 species
CCUACGGGAGGCAGCAGUAGGGAAUCUUCCACAAUGGGCGAAAGCCUGAUGGAGCAACGCCGCGUGGGUGAAGAAGGUCUUCGGAUCGUAAAACCCUGUUGUUAGAGAAGAAAGUGCGUGAGAGUAACUGUUCACGUUUCGACGGUAUCUAACCAGAAAGCCACGGCUAACUACGGGCCAGCAGCCGCGGUAAUACGGAGGUGGCAAGCGUUAUCCGGAUUUAUUGGGCGUAAAGGGAACGCAGGGGGUCUUUUAAGUCUGAUGUGAAAGCCUUCGGCUUAACCGGAGUAGUGCAUUGGAAACUGGGAGACGUGAGUGCAGAAGAGGAGAGUGGAACUCCAUGUGUAGCGGUGAAAUGCGUAGAUAUAUGGAAGAACACCAGUGGCGAAAGCGGCUCUCUGGUCUGUAACUGACGCUGAGGUUCGAAAGCGUGGGUAGCAAACAGGAUUAGAUACCCCAGUAGUC